rnacentral:rRNA from 1 species
GAAUUCGCCCUUAGAGUUUGAUCCUGGCUCAGGACGAACGCUGGCGGCGCGCCUAACACAUGCAAGUCGAACGAGCGAGAGGAGGUUUACUUUCUCAAGCGAGUGGCGAACGGGUGAGUAACGCGUGAGGAACCUGCCUCAAAGAGGGGGACAACAGUUGGAAACGACUGCUAAUACCGCAUAAGCCCACGACCCGGCAUCGGGUAGAGGGAAAAGGAGCAAUCCGCUUUGAGAUGGCCUCGCGUCCGAUUAGCUAGUUGGUGAGGUAAUGGCCCACCAAGGCGACGAUCGGUAGCCGGACUGAGAGGUUGAACGGCCACAUUGGGACUGAGACACGGCCCAGACUCCUACGGGAGGCAGCAGUGGGGAAUAUUGCACAAUGGGGGAAACCCUGAUGCAGCGACGCCGCGUGGAGGAAGAAGGUCUUCGGAUUGUAAACUCCUGUUGUUGAGGAAGAUAAUGACGGUACUCAACAAGGAAGUGACGGCUAACUACGUGCCAGCAGCCGCGGUAAAACGUAGGUCACAAGCGUUGUCCGGAAUUACUGGGUGUAAAGGGAGCGCAGGCGGGAAGGCAAGUUGGAAGUGAAAUCCAUGGGCUCAACCCAUGAACUGCUUUCAAAACUGUUUUUCUUGAGUAGUGCAGAGGUAGGCGGAAUUCCCGGUGUAGCGGUGGAAUGCGUAGAUAUCGGGAGGAACACCAGUGGCGAAGGCGGCCUACUGGGCACCAACUGACGCUGAGGCUCGAAAGUGUGGGUAGCAAACAGGAUUAGAUACCCUGGUAGUCCACACUGUAAACGAUGAUUACUAGGUGGUGGAGGAUUGACCCCUUCUUUGCCCCAUUAACACAAUA